rnacentral:ncRNA from 2 species
CUUCUCAUUCUUCUCCGAGUCUGGCUGCCUGCCGGCGAAUGCUAACGGCAGCCAGGCCGGCCGCUAGAGCAAGCGGCCCCGGUUGGACCGGAAACGGACCAGCCCCCCGACCGUAAGGUCAUUGGAAAGGAGACACCCCUGGCUGAUC